rnacentral:tRNA from 1 species
GAAAAAGUAAUUAAAAAAUAAUAUAUCUUUGUCAAAGAUAACUUAUCCCAAAAGAUCUUUUUCU